AGAGUUUGAUCCUGGCUCAGGAUGAACGCUGGCGGCGUGCCUAAUACAUGCAAGUCGAACGCAUCACUUUGGUGAUGAGUGGCGAACGGGUGAGUAAUACAUAAGUAACCUGGCCCAUACAGGGGGAUAACUGCUGGAAACGGCAGCUAAGACCGCAUACGUGUAGAGAUCGCAUGAACUCUAUAUGAAAAGUGCCAAGGCACUGGUAAGGGAUGGACUUAUGGCGCAUUAGCUAGUUGGCAGGGUAAAGGCCUACCAAGGCGACGAUGCGUAGCCGACCUGAGAGGGUGACCGGCCACACUGGGACUGAGACACGGCCCAGACUCCUACGGGAGGCAGCAGUAGGGAAUUUUCGGCAAUGGGGGAAACCCUGACCGAGCAACGCCGCGUGAAGGAAGAAGUAACUCGUUAUGUAAACUUCUGUCAUAGAGGAAGAACGGUGGAUAUAGGGAAUGAUAUCCAAGUGACGGUACUCUAUAAGAAAGCCACGGCUAACUACGUGCCAGCAGCCGCGGUAAUACGUAGGUGGCGAGCGUUAUCCGGAAUUAUUGGGCGUAAAGAGGGAGCAGGCGGCACUAAGGGUCUGUGGUGAAAGAUCGAAGCUUAACUUCGGUAAGCCAUGGAAACCGUAGAGCUAGAGUGUGUGAGAGGAUCGUGGAAUUCCAUGUGUAGCGGUGAAAUGCGUAGAUAUAUGGAGGAACACCAGUGGCGAAGGCGACGAUCUGGCGCAUAACUGACGCUCAGUCCCGAAAGCGUGGGGAGCAAAUAGGAUUAGAUACCCUAGUAGUCCACGCCGUAAACGAUGAGUACUAAGUGUUGGGGGUCAAACCUCAGUGCUGCAGUUAACGCAAUAAGUACUCCGCCUGAGUAGUACGUUCGCAAGAAUGAAACUCAAAGGAAUUGACGGGGGCCCGCACAAGCGGUGGAGCAUGUGGUUUAAUUCGAGGCAACGCGAAGAACCUUACCAGGUCUUGACAUCGAUCUAAAGGCUCCAGAGAUGGAGAGAUAGCUAUAGAGAAGACAGGUGGUGCAUGGUUGUCGUCAGCUCGUGUCGUGAGAUGUUGGGUUAAGUCCCGCGACGAGCGCAACCCCUGUUGCCAGUUGCCAGCAUUAAGUUGGGGACUCUGGCGAGACUGCCGGUGACAAGCCGGAGGAGGCGGGGAUGACGUCAAAUCAUCAUGCCCCUUAUGACCUGGGCUACACACGUGCUACAAUGGACAGAGCAGAGGGAAGCGAAGCCGCGAGGUGGAGCGAAACCCAGAAAACUGUUCUCAGUUCGGACUGCAGUCUGCAACUCGACUGCACGAAGAUGGAAUCGCUAGUAAUCGCGAAUCAGAAUGUCGCGGUGAAUACGUUCCCGGGUCUUGUACACACCGCCCGUCAA
rnacentral:rRNA from 1 species